GGAUGUGAGGGCGAUCUGGUGACAACAUCUGUCACCCCACUGAUCACCAGAGUUGAUUCGGCUGAUCUGGUUUGCUAGGCAGGUGUCCCCUUCCUCCCUCACUGCUCCACGUGCAUCCCUCCUGAAGCUGCACACUUGGUGGAAGAGGAUGGUGACCAUCCCCGAUAGAGAAGGACCGUUCUCGGUCAAGGGUAUAUGAGUAGCUGCACUCCCCUGCUGGAACCUCCAAACAAGCUCUCAAAAAAUGGGGAAUUCUACUAAUUAAAGUUUUCAAUCAAAGAAUCCAAAACACCUGGAUAGACAAACAUCCAGAU
ensembl:misc_RNA 7SK 7SK RNA